UAUCAUUUUGGAGGAAAAGAUAAUCCAACGCAAAAGCAAGGGGUGACAUUGAAAAGCAAGGAAGCUUGAGUAAAAACAGGAAUGUUGUUUGACUCAUCAUCUGUGUAUGAUUCUAUCCUAGCCUCCUGACCCAUUGUCUCUUCUUGUCCAGGGGUUGCUGUGGCACUGAAGCAAGCUAUGACUCUGGAAUUUAAAGUUUAUCAACACCAGGUGGUGGCCAACUGCAGGGCUCUGUCUGAGGCCCUGACGGAGCUGGGCUACAAAAUAGUCACAGGUAGAGACACAGAUGGUGUUCAGCAGGCCUGUUCUUGUGGUUGUAUUAAGGCUUGCUUCUCAGUUUGUGCAACCAGGAUGUGGCCCAGGCUCUGCUGCUGCAGCUGCAAUGAUGGGCCCACCUUGGGAGGAGGUCAGCCUCGCCUCCAACUGGAAAGCCUCCCCCUGCCUCAGACCAGCCAGCCGCCCCCUUGGGUGAGCCACAGAUGAUGGGAAUAGUGGUUGCCAUUGGUCACCAGCAUAAGGACUGCUUGUCCUCAGAACAGCUUUGCAGGAGGAUGACCUGAGGCUCAACUGAGAGGUUGGGCUGUAGUGGUCACACACCUGGUAGGUGGCACCAGGACUGUGUGGUGAUGCCUUGCACUGUGCCAGGGGAGUGUCUUCUCUCACCCCGCUGAGCUGGGGGUGCAGGGGCUCUCCCCUCCCAGUUUCCUGCAUAUUCCUGGGGAGUUGGCUUGCUUUAGGCAUGUUUGCUUGGAUCUGUACAUUCUGGAGCUGAUGGGCUGUGAAUGAGAUGGACUUCCCAGGUCAGGGCCCCACUCUGGGGUGCCAUCCACCUCACAGUCACUGCAGCUUUCCACGGAGAACGCAUUUUUUUGGCAGGCAGCAUACUCAGUCCUCCGGAGGAAGGGCGACUUUAUACCUAGUCCCACAAGACUGCCGAUUGUGCUAGCAGUGGUGUGGUCCAGGAAUAUGGGUCCUGCUGUGUGUAGACCUGAGUGCCCACUCUCUGCACCGUGUCCUUUGCCCUUUACAGGGAUUACAGGCCCUCUGAUCUAAGGAUUGGGGAGGGAUUACAGGCCUCCUGGUCUAAGGAGUGGGGCUCCCACCCAAUCCUGCAUGUGCGGCAGUGCCUGGGAAGGCCGGGCCAGUGCUGUCUCCUCAGCAGUACCAGCCGUACCCUCUUUUAUGUUCUACUUCACUUACUUUCUGUUCUCCCUUCAUCCUCCAUGUCUUCAAAUAAUAAAGCUCAAGAAGUCCUCGUGCAGACUGUGAACUUCAGGGUGCUUUAGCUCAGGAGUCCCCAACCUCCGGGCCACGGACUAGUACUGGUUUGUGGUCUGUUAGGAACCUGGCCGCACAGCAGGAAGUGAGCUGGGCCGAGAGCAUUGCCACCUGAGCUCCGCCUCCUGUCAGAUCAGUGGCAGCAUUAGAUUCUCAGAGGAGCUGAACGCUGGUUUGAACUGCACAUGUGAGGGAUCUAGGUUGGGCCUAGACACUUUCAAGAAACUAUCUUUUUUUUCCUUCUGAUUAUACCUGCAUCCUUAUGAGAAUCUAAUGCCCGAUGAUCUGAGGUGGAAGUUUCAUCCCAAAACCAUCCCCCGAUGCCAUCCGUGAAAAAACUGUCUUCCACAUAACCAGUUCCUGGUGCCAAAAAGGUUGGGGACCACUGCUUUAGGUCCCUGUUUCUUAAACUUCAAUGUGCACACCACCCCUGGGGCUGUUGGUGCAAUGCAGAUUCUGACCAGGCCUUGGGUGAUGCUGGUCUGGGAGCCACCCUUGGAGUUGUGAGGGUUUAGGCCAUAGUCCCUGUCACCAUGGGCAUCUCAUGGCAUGGGCCUGCCCUCUCCCUGGUGACUGUGUCAUUGUCACUCUGCCAUCUGAGGACCCGAUGCACAUGGCUGAGACAGAUAAUGCUUGCAAAUGCCCUCUUUGGUGCCUGGUGCUAUGAGAAGCACUAUGUCCAGUAUCUUACUUAAACUUCAUGACAGCCCUGUGAAUUAUUGGUCUUUUUGUUACAAAUGGGCAUCUGAGGUUUCACAAUGUUGAGCUGCCUGCCUAAAGCCACACGGCAAGUGGGUGGGCACAGCUGGGGGGCUGCAAAGCCAAGCUGGAGCCCUAGCUCACCCGCAUCUUGAAAGGGAUCCCCGCAACACAGCUCAGAAGCAGAGGCCCCAGUGCUGUCAGCACCCAAGGCACUACCCCAGCUUAAUGAAGGUUCAAAGUGGAAGGAUCCUCCUGUAUGACCUCGGGCCAGGUCCAGAAAACUCUGUUAGCCUUGCUGUUGUCACCUUACCACUUUGAUAAUACCAUCAGCCUCACAGGAUCCGGGAAAAACCUACCACAGGCUACAGUGUCUGGCACCUAAUGUGCUCUGUGAACAUGCCCCUUACCCCCCAAAGUAAAUUGAACUGCUGCCCAAUAUUCAUGCUGCCUUCAGGGGAGCCUUUACCAUCAAUGUUAGGGAAUUGCCCAAGCAACUUGUCAGAGAAAACAAGCCAGGAGCAGCCUGAGGAAGCUGUCCCUUCCCCAUGGGAGUGUCAGGCCCUCUGCUGUAUGAUCAGUUACCCCUUUCAAAAGUGCUCUGUCCUUCCUUUCACAUUCUUAGGCACGGGCAUCUCUCGUGGGGAUUAGAAUCCCAGGCCAUGUGGUGGGGGUGCUCACCUUCCUGACCUCAUCUGCUUUGACUGCCUUCAUCCUCGCCUUCGUUUCUCAGAGAUUCCUUCACGGCAUAGAAUUCGCCUGCAUUUCUACAUGUCCAA
rnacentral:lncRNA from 1 species